rnacentral:misc_RNA from 1 species
UCCGGUUUAUCACCGGCAGUCUCCAUAGAGUCCUCGCCAUUACGCGUUAGUAACUAUGAACAAGGGUUGCGCUCGUUGCGGGACUUAACCCAACAUCUCACGACACGAGCUGACGACAGCCAUGCACCACCUGUGCACUGGCCCCGAAGGGAGGCCCUAUUUCUAGGGCUUUCCAGUGCAUGUCAAGCCUUGGUAAGGUUCUUCGCGUUGCGUCGAAUUAAACCACAUGCUCCGCCGCUUGUGCGGGUCCCCGUCAAUUCCUUUGAGUUUUAGCCUUGCGGCCGUACUCCCCAGGCGGGGCGCUUAAUGCGUUAGCUUCGGCACAGAAGGGGUCGAUACCCCCCACACCUAGCGCCCAUCGUUUACGGCAUGGACUAC